UACGAAGGGGCUAGCGUUGCUCGGAAUCACUGGGCGUAAAGGGUGCGUAGGCGGGUCUUUAAGUCAGGGGUGAAAUCCUGGAGCUCAACUCCAGAACUGCCUUUGAUACUGAGGAUCUUGAGUUCGGGAGAGGUGAGUGGAACUGCGAGUGUAGAGGUGAAAUUCGUAGAUAUUCGCAAGAACACCAGUGGCGAAGGCGGCUCACUGGCCCGAUACUGACGCUGAGGAGCGAAAGCGUGGGGAGCAACAGGG
rnacentral:rRNA from 1 species